CUAUGUGGACAUACCUUCUUGUCAAUACCUGAUCUCGUCUUAUCUCAAAAGCUAAGCAAGCCCAGGCCUGGUUAAUACUUGGAAGAGAGACCAUUAGGAAAACCGGGUGCCAUAGC
rnacentral:rRNA from 1 species